AUACGUAGGGGGCGAGCGUUGUCCGGAAUUACUGGGCGUAAAGGGUGCGUAGGCGGCCUGAUAAGUCAGAUGUGAAAUACCACGGCUUAACCGUGGGGGUGCAUUUGAAACUGUUGGGCUUGAGUGCAGGAGAGGAAAGCGGAAUUCCUAGUGUAGCGGUGAAAUGCGUAGAGAUUAGGAGGAACACCAGUGGCGAAGGCGGCUUUCUGGACUGUAACUGACGCUGAGGCACGAAAGCGUGGGUAGCGAACAGGAUUAGAUACCCUGGUAGUCCACGCCGUAAACGAUGGAUACUAGGUGUAGGAGGUAUCGACCCCUUCUGUGCCGUAGUUAACGCAAUAAGUAUCCCGCCUGGGGAGUACGUGCGCAAGCAUGAA
rnacentral:rRNA from 1 species